AUUUAUGGUGGCUACGUGUGGGAGACCUUCGGGUCUGCCGGGUUCCUUUUGCCCCGGUCUUGCAGACCCGCACGUAGCCGCCACCCUA
rfam:Pseudomonas putida strain TASWS0946 Contig136, whole genome shotgun sequence.